GAUGAACGCUGGCGGCGUGCCUAAUACAUGCAAGUCGAGCGAACGGACGAGAAGCUUGCUUUUCUGAUGUUAGCGGCGGACGGGUGAGUAACACGUGGAUAAUCUACCUAUAAGACUGGGAUAACUUCGGGAAACCGGAGCUAAUACCGGAUAAUAUUUUGAACCGCAUGGUUCAAUAGUGAAAGACGGUCUUGCUGUCACUUAUAGAUGGAUCCGCGCUGCAUUAGCUAGUUGGUAAGGUAACGGCUUACCAAGGCAACGAUGCAUAGCCGACCUGAGAGGGUGAUCGGCCACACUGGAACUGAGACACGGUCCAGACUCCUACGGGAGGCAGCAGUAGGGAAUCUUCCGCAAUGGGCGAAAGCCUGACGGAGCAACGCCGCGUGAGUGAUGAAGGUCUUCGGAUCGUAAAACUCUGUUAUUAGGGAAGAACAUAUGUGUAAGUAACUGUGCACAUCUUGACGGUACCUAAUCAGAAAGCCACGGCUAACUACGUG
rnacentral:rRNA from 1 species